AACUUCAGCGACGAGGUACGGUUUCGUCCGAACAAGAUUAGUGACUCGAAACCGCUCUUGGCCCUUACAAAUAAGGAAGAAUCGGUCGUCAACGAGUCGCUCGUGUUUGACAACCUCACCAACGCAUCCAACAUCCGUCGUACCGGAAACCGCAUCAGUGUAAAUAACUCCAAAGCGAAGAUCAGUCUGAAGCAGAGUGUGCAUCAUCAUCCGG
rnacentral:misc_RNA from 1 species